rnacentral:rRNA from 1 species
GACGAACGCUGGCGGCGUGCUUAACACAUGCAAGUCGAACGGAAAGGCCUGCUUUCCCUUGUGGAUUGCGGGUACUCGAGUGGCGAACGGGUGAGUAACACGUGAGUGAUCUGCCCCCAACUUGGGUAUAAGCCUGGGAAACUGGGUCUAAUUCCCGAUAGGACUGCAGGGUGGUGCCUGUGGUGGAAAACGAUUUUCUAGUGGUUGGGGAUGAGCUCGCGGCCUAUCGGCUUGUUGGUGGGGUAAUGGCCUACCAAGGCGGCGACGGGUAGCCGGCCUGGGAGGGUGGACGGCCACAUUGGGACUGAGAUACGGCCCAGACUCCUACGGGAGGCAGCAGUGGGGAAUAUUGCACAAUGGGCGGAAGCCUGAUGCAGCGACGCCGCGUGGGGGAUGACGGCCUUCGGGUUGUAAACUCCUUUCGACCGCGAGGAAGCCACCUGGUUGGAAGGGUGGUGACGGUAGUGGUAGAAGAAGCACCGGCUAACUACGUG